rnacentral:rRNA from 1 species
UGGGGGGACCAUCCUCCAAGGCUAAAUACUCCUGACUGACCGAUAGUGAACCAGUACCGUGAGGGAAAGGCGAAAAGAACCCCGGCGAGGGGAGUGAAAAAGAACCUGAAACCGUGUACGUACAAGCAGUGGGAGCACAGAGCAAUCUGUGUGACUGCGUACCUUUUGUAUAAUGGGUCAGCGACUUAUAUUCUGUAGCAAGGUUAACCGAAUAGGGGAGCCGAAGGGAAACCGAGUCUUAACUGGGCGUUAAGUUGCAGGGUAUAGACCCGAAACCCGGUGAUCUAGCCAUGGGCAGGUUGAAGGUUGGGUAACACUAACUGGAGGACCGAACCGACUAAUGUUGAAAAAUUAGCGGAUGACUUGUGGCUGGGGGUGAAAGGCCAAUCAAACCGGGAGAUAGCUGGUUCUCCCCGAAAGCUAUUUAGGUAGCGCCUCGUGAAUUCAUCUCCGGGGGUAGAGCACUGUUUCGGCAAGGGGGUCAUCCCGACUUACCAACCCGAUGCAAACUGCGAAUACCGGAGAAUGUUAUCACGGGAGACACACGGCGGGUGCUAACGUCCGUCGUGAAGAGGGAAACAACCCAGACCGCCAGCUAAGGUCCCAAAGUCAUGGUUAAGUGGGAAACGAUGUGGGAAGGCCCAGACAGCCAGGAUGUUGGCUUAGAAGCAGCCAUCAUUUAAAGAAAGCGUAAUAGCUCACUGGUCGAGUCGGCCUGCGCGGAAGAUGUAACGGGGCUAAACCAUGCACCGAAGCUGCGGCAGCGACGCUUAUGCGUUGUUGGGUAGGGGAGCGUUCUGUAAGCCUGCGAAGGUGUGCUGUGAGGCAUGCUGGAGGUAUCAGAAGUGCGAAUGCUGACAUAAGUAACGAUAAAGCGGGUGAAAAGCCCGCUCGCCGGAAGACCAAGGGUUCCUGUCCAACGUUAAUCGGGGCAGGGUGAGUCGACCCCUAAGGCGAGGCCGAAAGGCGUAGUCGAUGGGAAACAGGUUAAUAUUCCUGUACUUGGUGUUACUGCGAAGGGGGGACGGAGAAGGCUAUGUUGGCCGGGCGACGGUUGUCCCGGUUUAAGCGUGUAGGCUGGUUUUCCAGGCAAAUCCGGAAAAUCAAGGCUGAGGCGUGAUGACGAGGCACUACGGUGCUGAAGCAACAAAUGCCCUGCUUCCAGGAAAAGCCUCUAAGCAUCAGGUAACAUCAAAUCGUACCCCAAACCGACACAGGUGGUCAGGUAGAGAAUACCAAGGCGCUUGAGAGAACUCGGGUGAAGGAACUAGGCAAAAUGGUGCCGUAACUUCGGGAGAAGGCACGCUGAUAUGUAGGUGAAGCGACUUGCUCGUGGAGCUGAAAUCAGUCGAAGAUACCAGCUGGCUGCAACUGUUUAUUAAAAACACAGCACUGUGCAAACACGAAAGUGGACGUAUACGGUGUGACGCCUGCCCGGUGCCGGAA